AAGACUAUAGACCUGCGGAGUACCUGCGGAAGGAUCAUUACAGAGUUAUCUAACUCCCAAACCCAUGUGAACUUACCUUUGUUGCCUCGGCAGUAGUUGCUGGGCGAGCCUACCCGGGAACGAGCUACCCUGUAGCGAGUUACCCUGGAACGACUUACCCUGUAACGCCUGCCGGUGGACUACUAAACUCUUGUUAUUUUUAAAGUAAUCUGAGCGUCUUAUUUUAAUAAGUCAAAACUU
rnacentral:misc_RNA from 1 species